UACGGAGGGUGCAAGCGUUAAUCGGAAUUACUGGGCGUAAAGCGCGCGAAGGUGGCUUGAUAAGCCGGUUGUGAAAGCCCCGGGCUCAACCUGGGACCGGCACCCGGACCUGUCAAGCUAGAGUGCAGGAGAGGAAGGUAGAAUUCCCGGUGUAGCUGUGAAAUGCGUAGAGAUCGGGAGGAAUACCAGUGGCGAAGGCGGCCUUCUGGACUGACACUGACACUGAGGUACGAAAGCGUGGGUAGCAAACAGG
rnacentral:misc_RNA from 1 species